CAGAUAUCAGUCUGUGUUCUUCAGGAGAAGCGGCUUCCGGUUUGCGACAGACGUUAAUCAUCCACGCCGCAGGGAUGGGCGCAUCGAUCUGAGCUAUCGGUAUAUCGAUACUCGAGCAAAUAAUAUCGAUACUAAGAAGGAUCAGUGGAUAUGAUAUUCAUUCAGGCAGAGCUGGACUAUGAGAGAGUCAUGGCAGAAAUAAAGGUCAUUAUAGAAGUCAGUUCCAGCACAGCUUUCCUUCAUUCAUCCUCUUCUGGAUGCUUUGGCAGAUCUCCCUGAAUGCUAUGGAGUCAAAAGUAUCCAAACCGACUGGUCUGGUGACUGCUCAGGCUGCUUUUUCAACCACAUAUCGAAGAGUCUUUGUCCUCCCACCCUGUCAUGUGAAAUAAUGCGAAAAUAUCAACUGACUCCACCAGAACUCAUUGUCUCAGAUCUCAUCUCAUCAGAGCCUAGUUCAGACCCAGCCAGACUAAAGUGGCUUGUUUCUGGAAGCUCUUGUCCCCUGGAGGCUACAGGGAUCAUUACCACUGUGUCAUGGAGGUGGUGAAGAUGUGCGCUCAGAUAGCACCUCCUCACUGUGAAGGGUAUUAAUAGACUCCUCUCUGACCAUGAAGCGAACUAAUGUUGGCAGAGCCACUGAAGGCUGAUAGACAGAUAGACACAUGAAUAGAGAGACAAAUGCGUCUUAUGUGCCUGAUUUCAUGCAUUUGUUAAAUAUACACUUUGCAUACACAGACACAGAAAUGUGGAUCAGUAGGGGUCGAACAUUAUGGGUUUUUAGAGGCUGAUGCCAAUAUCUGUAAAGCAGGGUGGCUGAUGGAUGAUUUGAUGCUGAUGUUAAUAAUGACAAAAAAGAGAGGCAAUAAAAAGGCCAAAAUGUGCAUUUGGA